GAUGAAGAACGCAGCGAAAUGCGAUAAGUAAUGUGAAUUGCAGAUUUCAGUGAAUCAUCGAAUCUUUGAACGCACCUUGCGCUCCUUGGUAUUCCGAGGAGCAUGCCUGUUUGAGUGUCAUUUCACCACUCAAGCCUCGCUUGGUAUUGGGCAACGCGGUCCGCCGCGUGCCUCAAAUCGACCGGCUGGGUCUUCUGUCCCCUAAGCGUUGUGGAAACUAUUCGCUAAAGGGUGUUCGGGAGGCUACGCCGUAAAACAACCCCAUUUCUAAGGUUGACCUCGGAUCAGGUAGGGAUACCCGCUGAACUUAAGCAUAUCAAUAAGCGGAGGA
rnacentral:misc_RNA from 1 species